AAAUAAUUUAAAAACAACAAGAAUAAUAAUUUGUGGACUAAGAACGUGAUUUUUCAAAAGAUGCGUUGACGGAACUGAGGCGACAUCUCGAACACAACAGUACUUGCUAAAUUAGGCGGUAAGAGCGUCACCAUCGUAGUUUAUGACAACAUGGCGUCAGAAUGUUUACAAAAUAUGUAGUCAUUUAUAGCAUUUACCAUGCAAAUAUAAACAAAAAAUUGUAAAUAAUUGCGACGUAAAUGUUUUAAAUGAAGUUACGAUCUGACACAAUAAAAUGGAUAAGUGUUGAAUCUCCUAAGUAAAAAGAAGUGCAUCAUUACUAUCAUUAGAAAAUGUAUAUGCUCUGGAUAUUAGCCAAUGGACCCCGUGAUUGAUUUCUCCACUAAAGUACCUCAUUUAUAAUGGACUCACGUCGAAAUGAGUAUCCACUGAUCUUUUUAGCAUGGGAAGAUUAAGAAUCAUGGCAAUCACCCUAAUAUACUUAUGAAGUUCAAACAAAAAGGUAUCCAAUUUUGAAAGGGCGCUUGCGGAGAUCUAGAAAUAAGGAGAGAAUCGGUAUUUAGCCAUUGGAAAGUCUGAUUUAUUUUUUAGAACAACAGCCGAUGGAAUAAGCAAGUGAUGAUAAGGUAUCCAUUUUUCAACGGACGUUUGCGGAGAUAUAGAAAUAAGGAGAAAAUCAGUAUUCAGCCAUUGGAAAGUCAGAUUUAUUUUUCGAACAACAGCUGAUGGACCGACCAAGUAUUGAUAAAGUAUCCAAUUUUCAACGGGCGUUUGCGGAGAUGCAGAAAUAAGGAGAUAACUAGUAUUUAGCCAUUCGAAGGUCCGAUUUAUUUUUGGAACAGCCGAUGGACCGAGCAAGUGAUGAUACGGUAUCCAUUUUUCAACCAACGUUUACGAAAAUGGAGAAAUAAGGAGAGAAUCAGUAUUCACUCAUUAGAAAGUCUGAUUUAUUUUUAGAACAACAGCUGAUGGACCGAGCAAGUGAUGAUAAGGUAUCCAGUGUUCAACACACGUUUGCGGUGAUGUAGAAAUGAGGCGAGAACCAGUAUUCAGGCUUUGGAUAGUCUGAUUUAUUUUUUCGAACAACUGAUGGACCGAGCAAGUGAUGAUAAGGUAUCCAUUUUUCAACGGAUGUUUGCAGGGAUGAAGAAAUAUGGAGAGAAUCAGUAUUCAGCCUUUGGAAAGAAAUAUAGAUUUUUUUUAUGAACAACUGCAGAUAGACGGAGCAAGUGAUGAUAAGGUAUCCAAUUUUCAAAGGACGUUUGCAGAGAUGUAGAAAUAAGGAGAAAACAGUAUGCAGCCAUUGAGAAGCUUGACGUAUUUCUUUGAACACCAGCCGAUAGACCAAGCACGUGUUGACAAGGUUCUCAAAUUCCAACGUAGUUUUUACAAGGAGGACAUUUUCCAAAAUUCUGUAUUCAAUAAUAGCCCUGGAUGAAAGAUUUAUGUAGAUUUGCAUCAUUGCCAGUCGAUGACCCUUAAAGUAUCAACGAAAAGGUAACAAUAUGAAAACUUUGUAUUCUUUCCCAGUAAGUGAUUGUUGACAUUACAAUUUGUAAAAGAGUGGAAAAAAAUCAGGUAAAUUUAAUUUAUAAUUAGUAAUAAGGUAAAAGCCCCAGUUACUCAUAUACAAGGACAUAACUUUGAAAAUAUGCGCAAAUUAAAGGAGUAAUGAAAUCGUGAAAAAUUGUAAAUAAAAUUUAUAAAUCAUUGGUAAUGUAAAUUUUCUGGCUCAAGUAGUUUUUUAUUUAUAAAAAACUGACAGGAGCACUGAAUUCUAUCAGUGUGAUUAUCAACCCGGCGAAAAAAAAUUAUGAAAAAUAUAAUUCCAUUGUUAAAAUAGUACAAAGUGUAUAAUUAUACGAUUAUAAAAAUUGGCGCUAAUUAAAAGAGUAAAAAAAACGUAAAAAAUUAUUGAUAAAAUUUAAAAAUCAAUGGCACUGUAAAUUUUCUAGCUCGAGUAGUUUUUUAUUUAUAAAAAACUGACAGGAGCACUGAAUUCUAUCAGUGUGACUAUCAACUCGGCAAAAAAGAAAAAAUUAUAAAAAAUAUAAUUUCAUUGAUAAUAUAGUACAAAGUGUAUAAUUAUAAGAUUAUAAAAAUUUGCGCUAAUUAGAAGCGUAAUGAAUUCGUAAAAAAUUGUAAAUAAAAUUUAAAAAUCAUUGAUAUUGUAAAUUUUCUAGCUCGAGUAGUUUUUUUUAUAAAAAACUAAUAGGAGCACUGAAUUCUAUCAGUGUGACUAUCAACUCGGCAAAAAAGAAAAAAUUAUAAAAAAUAUAAUUUCAUUGAUAAUAUAGUACAAAGUGUAUAAUUAUAAGAUUAUAAAAAUUUGCGCUAAUUAAAAGAGUAAAGAAAUCGUAAAAAAUUAUUGAUAAAAUUUAAAAAUCAAUGGCACUGUAAAUUUUCUAGCUCGAGUAGUUUUUUAUUUCUAAAAAACUGACAGGAGCACUGAAUUCUAUCGGUGUGACUAUCAACUCGGCAAAAA